UUUAUUGGAGAGUUUGAUCCUGGCUCAGGACGAACGCUGGCGGCGUGCCUAAUACAUGCAAGUCGAGCGGAGUUGAUCGGGAGCUUGCUCCUGAUUAACUUAGCGGCGGACGGGUGAGUAACACGUAGGCAACCUGCCCGUAAGACCGGGAUAACUACCGGAAACGGUAGCUAAUACCGGAUAAUCAAGCCUCUCGCAUGAGAGGCUUGGGAAAGGCGGAGCAAUCUGUCACUUACGGAUGGGCCUGCGGCGCAUUAGCUAGUUGGUGGGGUAACGGCUCACCAAGGCGACGAUGCGUAGCCGACCUGAGAGGGUGAACGGCCACACUGGGA
rnacentral:rRNA from 1 species